UUUCCGGUUGAUCCUGCCGGAGGUUACUGCUAUCGAGGUUCGACUAAGCCAUGCGAGUCGAAUGUAGCAAUACAUGGCGAACUGCUCAGUAACACGUGGACAACCUGCCCUUAGGACGGGGAUAAACCCGGGAAACUGAGUAUAAUACCCGAUAGGUCUCGAUUGCUGGAAUGCAUCGAGAUUUAAAGCUCCGGCGCCUAAGGAUGGGUCUGCGGCCUAUCAGGUAGUAGUGGGUGUAGCGUACCUACUAGCCUACGACGGGUACGGGUUGUGAGAGCAAGAGCCCGGAGAUGGAUUCUGAGACACGAAUCCAGGCCCUACGGGGUGCAGCAGGCGCGAAAACUUUACAAUGCUGGCAACAGCGAUAAGGGAACCUCGAGUGCCAGGUUACAAAUCUGGCUGUCGAGAUGCCUAAAAAGCAUUUCAUAGCAAGGGCCGGGCAAGACCGGUGCCAGCCGCCGCGGUAACACCGGCGGCUCGAGUGGUAACCGUUAUUAUUGGGUCUAAAGGGUCCGUAGCCGGCCGGAUAAGUCUCUUGAGAAAUCUGGCAGCUUAACUAUCAGGCUUUCAGGAGAUACUGUCUGGCUCGAGGCCGGGAGAGGUGAGAGGUACUUCAGGGGUAGGGGUGAAAUCUUGUAAUCCUUGAAGGACCACCAGUGGCGAAGGCGUCUCACCAGAACGGACCUGACGGCAAGGGACGAAAGCUAGGGGCACGAACCGGAUUAGAUACCCGGGUAGUCCUAGCCGUAAACGAUACUCGCUAGGUGUCGGCCACGGUGCGACCGUUGUCGGUGCCGUAGGGAAGCCGUGAAGCGAGCCACCUGGGAAGUACGGCCGCAAGGCUGAAACUUAAAGGAAUUGGCGGGAAU
rnacentral:rRNA from 1 species